AGACCCGAAACCCGGUGAUCUAGCCAUGGGCAGGUUGAAGGUUGGGUAACACUAACUGGAGGACCGAACCGACUAAUGUUGAAAAAUUAGCGGAUGACCUGUGGCUGGGGGUGAAAGGCCAAUCAAACCGGGAGAUAGCUGGUUCUCCCCGAAAGCUAUUUAGGUAGCGCCUCGUGAAUUCAUCUCCGGGGGUAGAGCACUGUUUCGGCUAGGGGGCCAUCCCGGCUUACCAACCCGAUGCAAACUGCGAAUACCGGAGAAUGUUAUCACGGGAGACACACGGCGGGUGCUAACGUCCGUCGUGAAGAGGGAAACAACCCAGACCGCCAGCUAAGGUCCCAAAGUCAUGGUUAAGUGGGAAACGAUGUGGGAAGGCCCAGACAGCCAGGAUGUUGGCUUAGAAGCAGCCAUCAUUUAAAGAAAGCGUAAUAGCUCACUGGUCGAGUCGGCCUGCGCGGAAGAUGUAACGGGGCUAAACCAUGCACCGAAGCUGCGGCAGCGAACGUAUCACCCAAGACAACUUUACGGAGUUGACGAUUGACGGAGCGAAGCGACGUCAAAGCGUUCAUUAAAGUCGAGUUGGCUUAGGGAUACGUUCGUUGGGUAGGGGAGCGUUCUGUAAGCCUGUGAAGGUGUGUCGUGAGGCAUGCUGGAGGUAUCAGAAGUGCGAAUGCUGACAUAAGUAACGAUAAAGCGGGUGAAAAGCCCGCUCGCCGGAAGACCAAGGGUUCCUGUCCAACGUUAAUCGGGGCAGGGUGAGUCGACCCCUAAGGCGAGGCCGAAAGGCGUAGUCGAUGGGAAACGGGUUAAUAUUCCCGUACUUGGUGUUACUGCGAAGGGGGGACGGAGAAGGCUAUGUUGGCCGGGCGACGGUUGUCCCGGUUUAAGCGUGUAGGUGUGUGUUCCAGGUAAAUCCGGUUCACUUUAACACUGAGGCGUGACGACGAGGCACUACGGUGCUGAAGCAACAAAUGCCCUGCUUCCAGGAAA
rnacentral:rRNA from 1 species